UGGGUUAGCUGUGAAGUUCGCCACUGGUUUUUUCUUUCGAAUACCAUGGUGAAACUGGUUAUAUUGACUGAUGCUUCUUUUCUAUCAGUUGGAUUCAAUUAUGUAUAGCAUUUCUUUCAAUGAGAGAGAGUUUGUAGUUUUCAUAAGAUUUUCCUUACUAAGAUUGUUUAUAUUGAUGGCAGGUUAUUUCCUUGCUAAGAUUUUCCAUCCAAACAUUGCAAAUAAUGGUGAAAUUUGUGUUAACACUUUGAACAGGAGGUGGUGCAGAGGAAUAAGUAUAGUCGGCUAUGGCUUAUUUUGAGAUUAAUAAAUGGUGGGACUGUUUAUUAAAGAUCACCCAAAGGUUUGUUUGAGUUUGAUAGGAUGACUUUGGAAAGGUUGAAGAUUGAAGAUUUGUAUAUUGAAGAAGAAAUGAUUUCUUUCUAAUGUAUUAGAUAGAUUUUUUGUUAUUGUUUAUUUAA